CCAGACUCCUACGGGAGGCAGCAGUGGGGAAUUUUGCGCAAUGGGGGAAACCCUGACGCAGCAACGCCGCGUGCGGGACGACGGCCCUCGGGUUGUAAACCGCUUUCAGUGGGGACGAUGGUGACGGUACCCACAGAAGAAGCUCCGGCUAACUACGUGCCAGCAGCCGCGGUAAUACGUAGGGAGCGAGCGUUAUCCGGAUUCAUUGGGCGUAAAGCGCGCGUAGGCGGCUGCCUAAGCGGAACCUCUAAUCCCGGGGCUCAACCUCGGGCCGGGUUCCGAACUGGGCGGCUCGAGUGCGGUAGAGGCAGGCGGAAUUCCCGGUGUAGCGGUGGAAUGCGCAGAUAUCGGGAAGAACACCGAUGGCGAAGGCGGCUUACUGGACUGUAACUGACGUUGAGGCUCGAAAGCGUGGGGAGCAAACAGGAUUAGAUACCCCAGUAAG
rnacentral:rRNA from 1 species